GCUAGUGAGUACUGUACAUCAAGAUACUGAUAUAACAAUGUCCCAAGUAUAUGUAAUUUUAUAUUACGUAUAAAUUAAAUAAAACUCGUAAAUGAUUUUAUUCUAUAAAACAUAGCUUACAUAUCUUAGAUUAUGUCAAUCACGUGUUUUAUUAAAAUUUUACAUAUUUCAAUAUGUCAAAAAUGAACGCGCGUUAGAAAAAUUUGACGCACAUUGACAACAUAAAAAUGCGAUUCCGCUGUAGAUUGAGAAUUCGUCACGUCACAUAUAUAUAAUAUCUAUGAUAUAGAACGACUUUUACGGUAAAAAACCUUACUUUUUACCUUGAGAUAAGAUAUUAUCAUCAAUAGAGAAGAAAGAUAUCUUUUACGGUUGAAGUGAGAAUAAAAUAUUUUUCGAACAAUGGAUAUUCUGAAACCCGAAUUAAUUUGGGUAGAUGGCCGAUGUUAUAGAGUAUUAGAAAAUAUUGAACGGACAGAUGCUCGCGACGUUCCUCCUUACUUCGAAGACAAUAAUUACCAUUUGGAUGACAAAGAUUGUGAGGAUGAAUAUUACGAUACAGAUAUAGAAAUUGUACCAUAUGGAUCAACAAAAUUUAAACAUACAUUUCGUGUACCAAAAGCAUUUUUUUCAUAUAUUAUUGGAGCUAAACAUGCAGUACGUAAAAGAUUAGAAAGUGAAACUGGAACGUUAAUACAAAUUCCAAAAUUAGGCCAAGAUGGAGAUAUUGUAAUAAUUGGUUCUGAUCGCAAAGGAAUAGUAACUGCACGUCGGAGAAUAAAUUUAUUAAUGGAAGCAACUAGGAAGAAAUUAGAAUUUACACACUUUUUAUCAAUACCUUUAAAUGAAGGUCAUAUAAUAAUGAAGUUUAAUAUGUUUAAAAAUGAAGUCCUGACAAAUUCAGGAAAGAAAUCCAGAGGUGUGGAUGAAACAAUUUUCCAAACACCAAGUAAAUUACAUCUUACUAUUGGUUUAAUGACAUUACUUGAUGAAACAGAAAGAAAUAAAGCUAUAGAAGCUUUAUAUUAUUGUAACGAGCAUAUUGUAAGACCUACCAUUGAAAAAUAUGGACAAAUUCCUAUACACUUACAAGGAAUUGAUAUAAUGCAGGAUGAUCCUAGUGAAGCAAAAAUUAUAUAUGCAAAGCUAGUUAAUAAAACUGAGGUUUUGCAAAAGAUAGUAGAUGAAAUUGUAGACUAUUAUGUCAAGAUAGGUUUAAUAAUCAAAAGUAAACGUCAGUCAAACAAACUGCAUUUAACUCUUAUGAAUACAAAAUUUCAAAUAAAUGAAGAAGAAAGAAAUAGUAAAAACUUUAUAACAUUUGAUGCAAGAGAAAUAUUGAAGAUGAACCUGUGUAACAAUUUGAAAAUUCGAUUUUCCUAUAUAAUUCAUUCUUUAGAUGUAUUUGCAUACCAAUGUAAAUAUUUUGGAUUAAAAUUCUACAUAAUUUCAUAAUGUAAAUAUCCUGGAUUAAGUACCUACAAACUUUAAUCUUUAAAUGCAAAAAAUGUUUUCAAAAGAUUGGACAAUAUUUUUGGUGUUUUGUAUAUAUCAAAAUAUGAAAAAAGGUCCUGUGUAUUCAAGAAAAUAAAUUUUUCGAAUUACAAGCAAAAGAAUAAAUGAAUUUAUAUAUAAAAAGUGUUUAUUAACAUGUCCUGUAUCACACAGGCCAAUAAUAAUCCACAAUAGCAAUUAAACAUAAAGCUUCCAUUGGACUAAAAAAGAUAUAUUUUAACUCAUUUUUUAGUGAAUAUAUACGAAAGAAGAUCUAGUUCUGCAUAGAAGAAAGAUUUAUUAAAUUAGAAUAUUUAAUUAGAAAAUAGUCCUUAUACUGAAUUCCUGACACUUUAAUCUCUUUUUAUCUACUUUACUUCAGUAAUUUAAUAUUGUACAUAUUCGACUACUUAAUGAAUGCUCUACUUCUAUUAACUGUCACAAGUUAUGGCUCACGAGAUACAAAAUGAGUUCAAUAUGUGUACAAACAGCCAAAUAUAAAUUCAAUAUUCACUUUCAAAAUGAGAUUGAUAUAAAAUGUUUUACACAGAUUCUUUGUCACAAAAAAACUAUUAUAAUUAAAGUUAAUAUAAUUCUUGUCUUCAAA